rnacentral:rRNA from 1 species
AUGCAUCUUGGUGAGCGUAGGAAAAUUUUAAAUUAUGCUACGAUUCCCAUCAGGGGGCUCGGGAAUGGCCCGGUAGUUCAUAGCCUCCUUGAUUUGGGGAGGAUGGAGGAGCCCGACGUGCUGUUCUUGGCUGAGACGAAAUUGACAGAGAAGGAGUUGGAGAAGUUUCGGUGGUCGCUGGGUUUGGCGAACAUGACGGCAUGGAAUCCUGUGGGUCGUAGUCGAGGUGUGGCUCUAUUUUGGAGGAGGGGGAUAAGCAUAUCGUUAAGAUCAUAUGGGAGGCGGCAUGUUGAUGUGGAUGUCACGGAGGAGGAUGGGAGGAUAUGGAGACUUACGGGGGUUUAUGGUGAAUCAGAACUGGAGCGGAAAGUGGAAACUUGGAAGAUGAUGCGCAUCCUCGGACAGCAACACCAAAAUGGACGGCCUUGGUUGUGCCUGGGAGACUUCAACGAGAUUUUAACCUGGGAUGAGAAGAUUGGGGGUGUUGUUCGCCCUCAACGGUUCAUGGAUAACUUUAGGGGAGCUUUGGAGGCGUGCGAGCUAUGUGAUAUUUGUUAUGAAGGAGACAAAUUCACGUGGAGAAAUCACAGCAAGGAGGUGGAUACGUAUAUUUGCGAACACCUUGAUAGGGCAACGGCCAACGCAAAAUGGUGCGAGUGGUUUCCUGACUUCACUGUUGUCAAUGGGGCCCCUUGA